rnacentral:rRNA from 1 species
GUGCAUGCCUACAACAUAGCAUUAAUGCAAUGGAUCACAUUAGAACUUUGCAAUUAAGUGCACUUAGGCUAGAGUAGUAUUGGGAUGGGUGAUCACUCGAGAAGUCCUAGUGGUGUACAUG